rnacentral:rRNA from 1 species
UCUUGCAAGAGUAAUUUAAACAUCAUCUGAAAUUUGCCCACUGAAGCUAAGCAGGGCUGAGCCUGGUCAGUACCUGGAUGGGAGACCUCCUGGGAAAACUAGGUUGCUGCUGGAA